AGGCUCAGAAUUCCUUGUUUAUAGUCCAGUUCAUGUUAGUUUCAACAAUGUUUUUUUUUUUUCCCCCUGAUCAGACCUUGAAACCAACUGAUUAAUUCAACAUGAUAAGGCUCAUUUCACUCCUAGAUGAAUGAAGUCUAUGGGACCAGGAAGAAUACCUUUUUAAACAAAAGGAUAUUAUUGAAAUCUGAGAGUGUCAGAUUCCUCAGAUAAUCAGGAAAAAAAUCCCCAACCUUUCGACCUGCACUGAAGGGAUGACUGAGGAAACUGGCAGCAAGACACCUCUAAGUGCUCUAUGGAUUAAGAAUGGCCAGACAUUUUCCAAGGCCCUGUGAAGUGGUAACUGUGGUAACACUGAUGUCAAAGGGAUGCAGAGCAGUUACCCCUGUCAAGGCAAAAAAGCUCCUACUACGAGGACACCGUGCUUUAAUGAGUCUAACUGAAGGAAAAGGCGUAACAGUGGUGGAACUGGUGAUAGAAAUUGUGCCAGAGAAGGAUGAAGAGUAAAACAGGACUGUUGGUGUUGAAAAUACCUUGCAGUUUCAAUUUUUACACAGAAGAGAACAACUAUAUUUCUUUACAAUGCUGGGAAAUUUGCCAUGUUGUUCCAUACUCCAGCACCUUGGCUCCAGUCCUCCCUGGCAAUGACUGGUCCGGUAGAGCAACAAUCCCUCCUGCCAGCCAAGUCAGUAUUUCUGCAAAGUGUGUUGGUCGUUUCCUCUGUCCAUCUCCUGCCUCUGCUUCCUCACAUGCAGAGCUUCAGGAGAUCCAGAGUGGUUAUGGGAUUCCACAG
rnacentral:lncRNA from 1 species